GUCCACCCAUCCAUCCGUACAGCCCAGAAAGUCACCGUCUUUCAUUCCCAACCUAACUUUCUUCCCUCUCUCUCUCUCACAUCUAUAAGCAACCAAUCCAAUCCCAUCUCUCUCUCGCAAACCACGACGACGACGACGAUGUUGGGUGUCCUCCGCAGCAAGGCUGGGUUCCUCCGCCGCCUCACCUCCCUCUCCGUCCCCCUCCGGCACCGGUCGAGCAAGGCGGCGGCGGCGGGUGGACAUGUGGUGGAGGUUGACAUGGCGGAGUACGACGUGGCGCUGAAGCACUUCGACGACCUAAUCCAGCGCAUCCUCGUCAAGAAGAACACACCGGACUGGCUCCCCUUCGUGCCCGGGUCCUCCUUCUGGGUCCCACCGCGCCUCUCUCCCUCCAACGUCGCCGACCUCGUCCACAAGCUCUCCUACGAGGACCACCGCCACCCCCACGAUUGCUCCCCUCUCCUCUCCACCCUCCGCGGCUGGCCCUCCGACAAUUUCUUCAUCGAUGAGAAUGAAUCUACUGAUGGUGAGGAUACUGAUAUAGAGAUAAAUGGCCCAGACGGGACGAACGGGACUGUGAAAGUGAAGGUUCUGACAUUUUCAGAAAAUGUAGCUCACUCAGAAGAUGAGGAAGGAUGAUCCAUAAUUUAGCCAAGCCAGUUGCUGCGGUUGACACUUGUGCCAAGCUACUUCACAAUUUAAGUUUUGAAGGCAUACGAUAGUGUGACACUAUUUUAUGAGGAAUGUCCUGGAAAUUUAAGCGAGUUAAGGCAGCAUAGAAGAAACUGGUGGAAGUGUUAUAGAUGGAUUAUCACUAUCAGGCUAUCACAAUGAUUCUUACGUUCAAUUAUGUACAUCUUUUGUGCUGAUGCUCGCUUUAUUGGCCUUGUGUCUGACAUUUUGCGGUUGGUAGCGGUAUAGCUUAUUUCUCAUUCUUUAAUCCAUAACUUUUGGCUUGGGGAAACAAGGGACAUCUCAAGAUGAAAGAGAACUAAAGGUUUUUUUAUGAUGCUAUGUAAGGUUGUGGAGAAGUCCAAAAAAAAAAGCAUGGGAAAAAAACCAAGCUCUCUGGAUGUUGGAAAGGACAGUGUGUGCAAAUGAAAAUUCCUUCAGGAUACAGAACUGUUGGUUCUUUUGGGAUUUAAACCCAUCUCACUCUGCAUGACUCAACAUUGAUCUGUUUAUUUGCAAUGCUAGGUUGAAUCCUUGUAGGCUGAAUGUAUAUAUUUAUUUAUCCAACUAAUAAAACACAGACAUUUUAGAAUAUUUUCCUCUAAACCAGCAAGGACUUGCUCAAUCUAGUGCACAUAUAAUUAUGUUGAUGUGUAUAUAAUUGUAAUAGACAUUUCUUUGGUGGUACAAAAGUGUAAUAGCCUUCAUGGGGCAACACUUCGAAAGUUUUUCAUUAAAGUCACACUCUAGCUUGAAUUUUAGCAUUAAGUUCCAUUA